rnacentral:tRNA from 1 species
ACKAAGUCCCGGGGUGUAGCGCAUACAUAUAGAAGUGCACAUNCAUAUAGACACCCCAGAAUAGGUGUCGGGGCUUCUCCCGUUU